rnacentral:misc_RNA from 1 species
UUUUUUUUUUUUUUUUAGAAAUUCUAUUGUGCUUGUGAGAGAAAUGCGUAGCUGUACUGGGUUGUUUGAGCCCUAUAUUAUAAACCUCCAACCUUAUUUCAUUAUACAUGUUUCCAUCCUCUAGCUGCAUCUCUGUUAUUAUACUGCUUGAUAAAAAAAAGUCAUUGAGGAGAUUUUUCUGAGUCAUGGACACAAGAAUGAUCAAAUGGUGUUUAAUUUUGCAAUGGGUACCGUAUGGUGACAUUCUUAAAGCCUUGAUUCAGGUAAAUAUGUUGGAAAUAGGCCCAUUAAAUUACGCAAGAGCAAUUGGAAGGAAAGGACAGAUUACGAGGCACUUGAAAGACAAAAGGUAAUAUUUCCUUUUCUCAGUUGAUGCGUCUUACCUAGAAUUUAUUCAGUAAUCCUCUCUCCCCACGUUUGUGUAGCAUUGCGCAGUCUUUUAUGCUUAUACC